GGUUAAGCGACUAAGCGUACACGGUGGAUGCCCUGGCAGUCAGAGGCGAUGAAGGACGUGCUAAUCUGCGAAAAGCGUCGGUAAGGUGAUAUGAACCGUUACAGCCGGCGAUGUCCGAAUGGGGAAACCCAGUGCAAUUCGUUGCACUAUCGUUAACUGAAUACAUAGGUUAACGAGGCGAACCGGGGGAACUGAAACAUCUAAGUACCCCGAGGAAAAGAAAUCAACC
rnacentral:rRNA from 3 species